rnacentral:rRNA from 1 species
AUUUGGUAAUAUUUUUAAAAAAAACCUUUAUAUAAUGGCGGCAUUAUAUCUUAUUAGAGGAAUCUGUUUUUUAAUCGAAAAUACACGCUAAUUCUUACUUUUUUAUAAAUUUUAUAUACCUCCGUUAUAAGAAUAAAUUAAAAAAUUUUAUUCUAAAUAAUAUUAUAUUAUAUUAGGUAAAGGUGUAGACCAUAAAAAAGAUAAAAUAUAUUACAUUAAAUAUAAUUUAAGAAUAUUUAUUAAAAAUUAAUUUGAAAAAGAAUUUAUAAGUAAUAUUAUAUAAUAAUAUUUUAAUAUGAAUAAGAAUAUUAAUGUGU